CUGGAAUCGCAAGAUCCCACAACCCCUGUGAACCUACCGAAACGUUGCCUCGGCGGGUGCCCGGCCCUGCGCCGGGCGCUGCGCCCGCCGGCGGCCCCCUACUCUUGUCUCUGCAGCGUGGCACCUCAGAGUCCCAGAAAACAAGUCA
rnacentral:misc_RNA from 1 species